UAUCUCUGUAGAGUCUGCAUAUCAAUAAGCGGAGGAAAAGAAACUAACUAGGAUUCCCUCAGUAACGGCGAGUGAAGCGGGAAGAGCUCAAAUUUGAAAUCUUCAAGGUUUUACCUUGACGAAUUGUAGUUUAAAGAAGUGUUUUCUGUUGGAGUUUUGGUAAAAGUUCUUUGGAAUAGGACAUCAUAGAGGGUGAGAAUCCCGUAUUUGACCAUUAUUUCCAGCUUUGUGAUACACUUUCAAAGAGUCGGAUUGUUUGGGAAUGCAGUCCAAAAUGGGUGGUAAAUUUCAUCUAAAGCUAAAUACUGGCGAGAGACCGAUAGCGAACAAGUACCGUGAGGGAAAGAUGAAAAGAACUUUGAAAAGAGAGUUAAACAGUACGUGAAAUUGUCAAAAGGGAAGCGUUUGACACCAGUGUUGUUUUCUCGAAAAUCAAUUAAAAAUGGCGGGAUUUUGUGUUGUAUUGACUUUAUCAGCUUUCUGCACUCUUUUCCUGUCUUUUUUAAUGCACUUUUCGUUUAACAAGUCAACAUCAAUUUCUUUUGUUGUAAAAGGGUCAUUGGAAGGUGGCUUUCUUUUCGGAGAAAGUGUUUAUAGCCUUUGGCCUCUGCAAUCGGAGAGAUUGAGGUCUGCAGCGUAGAUCCUUCGGGGUUAGAUACAUUUGUGCUAAGUUAUAGCCUUUCAUAGACAACUUGUUGACUAUGAUCAGUCAUGUAGCUUACUCGCUUAUGCUAUUUUACCUACGCUUAGGAUGUUGAGUCAUCACACAUCUCU
rnacentral:rRNA from 1 species